rnacentral:rRNA from 1 species
UACGUAGGUGGCAAGCGUUGUCCGGAAUUAUUGGGCGUAAAGCGCGCGCAGGUGGUUUCUUAAGUCUGAUGUGAAAGCCCACGGCUCAACCGUGGAGGGUCAUUGGAAACUGGGGAACUUGAGUGCAGAAGAGGAAAGUGGAAUUCCAAGUGUAGCGGUGAGAUGCGUAGAGAUUUGGAGGAAUACCGGUGGCGAAGGCGGCAUCCUGGACCGGCAUUGACGCUGAGGAGCGAAAGCCAGGGGAGCAAACGGG